rnacentral:tRNA from 1 species
GUUAAUAUAGUUUAAAACAAACAUUAGACUGUGGCUCUAAAAAUAGGAGUUUAAACCUCCUUAUAAACC